rnacentral:rRNA from 1 species
GACGAACGCUGGCGGCGUGCUUAACACAUGCAAGUCGAACGGAAAGGCCCUGCUUUUGUGGGGUGCUCGAGUGGCGAACGGGUGAGUAACACGUGAGUAACCUGCCCUUGACUUUGGGAUAACUUCAGGAAACUGGGGCUAAUACCGGAUAGGAGCUCCUGCUGCAUGGUGGGGGUUGGAAAGUUUCGGCGGUUGGGGAUGGACUCGCGGCUUAUCAGCUUGUUGGUGGGGUAGUGGCUUACCAAGGCUUUGACGGGUAGCCGGCCUGAGAGGGUGACCGGCCACAUUGGGACUGAGAUACGGCCCAGACUCCUACGGGAGGCAGCAGUGGGGAAUAUUGCACAAUGGGCGGAAGCCUGAGGCAGCAACGCCGCGUGCGGGAUGACGGCCUUCGGGUGGUAAACCGCUUUCGCCGGUGACGAAGCGUGAGUGACGGUAAUGGGUAAAGAAGCACCGGCUAACUACGUG